rnacentral:rRNA from 1 species
AUACGUAGGUGGCAAGCGUUGUCCGGAAUUACUGGGCGUAAAGAGCUCGUAGGCGGCUCAGCAAGUCGGUCGUGAAAGCCCGAGGCUCAACCUCGGAACUGCGGUCGAUACUGCUGUGGCUAGAGUCCGGUAGAGGAGAGUGGAAUUCCCGGUGUAGCGGUGGAAUGCGCAGAUAUCGGGAGGAACGCCAGUGGCGAAGGCGGCUCUCUGGGCCGGUACUGACGCUGAGGAGCGAAAGCGUGGGGAGCAAACAGGAUUAGAAACCCCGGUAGUCC